rnacentral:ribozyme from 1 species
CACGCGGAAAGAAAAAUAAAAAUAAAACAAGAAAAACAAACAACAAAAAGCGUUCAAAAGAACAACAACAACACGCGUACCGUUCUUAUCUUUUAUAUUAUUUGUAUGUUUUCCCCCAUUUUCAUAUUCUUCUCUUUCUUUUUGUUCUUUUCUUCUUUUCUCACACAUAA